AAAGUCCUACGGGGCGCAGCAGUGGGGAAUAUUGCACAAUGGGGGAAACCCUGAUGCAGCGACGCCGCGUGAGUGAAGAAGCGUUUCGGCGCGUAAAGCUCUGUCAGCGGGGAAGAAACACGGUUCGCGAGAGCCGCGGACGGUACCCGACCAAGAAGCCCCGGCUAACUACGUGCCAGCAGCCGCGGUAAUACGUAGGGGGCAAGCGUUAUCCGGAUUCACUGGGUGUAAAGGGAGCGCAGGCGGUGCGGCAAGUCUGAUGUGAAAGCCCGGGGCUCAACCCCGGGGCUGCAUUGGAAA
rnacentral:rRNA from 1 species